rnacentral:rRNA from 7 species
GCAUAUCAAUAAGCGGAGGAAAAGAAACCAACAGGGAUUGCCCCAGUAACGGCGAGUGAAGCGGCAACAGCUCAAAUUUGAAAUCUGGCUCUCGGGCCCGAGUUGUAAUUUGUAGAGGAUGCUUUUGGUGAGGUGCCUUCCGAGUUCCCUGGAACGGGACGCCAUAGAGGGUGAGAGCCCCGUCUGGUUGGACACCGAUCCUCUGUAAAGCUCCUUCGACGAGUCGAGUAGUUUGGGAAUGCUGCUCUAAAUGGGAGGUAUAUGUCUUCUAAAGCUAAAUACCGGCCAGAGACCGAUAGCGCACAAGUAGAGUGAUCGAAAGAUGAAAAGAACUUUGAAAAGAGAGUUAAACAGUACGUGAAAUUGUUGAAAGGGAAGCGCUUGUGACCAGACUUGGGCUUGGUUGAUCAUCCGGGGUUCUCCCCGGUGCACUCUUCCGGCUCAGGCCAGCAUCAGUUCGCCCUGGGGGAUAAAGGCUUCGGGAAUGUGGCUCUCUCCGGGGAGUGUUAUAGCCCGCUGCGUAAUACCCUGUGGCGGACUGAGGUUCGCGCAUUCGCAAGGAUGCUGGCGUAAUGGUCAUCAGUGACCCGUCUUGAAACACGGACC